rnacentral:rRNA from 1 species
GAUGAACGCUGACAGAAUGCUUAACACAUGCAAGUCUUUGGCGAAGCUGUGCUUGCACAGCCUAGCCAAGGCGGACGGGUGAGUAACGCGUAAGGAACUUGCCCUGCAGUCAGGGAUAACAGACGGAAACGACUGAUAAGACCUGGUAAAGUCAGGCGGACUCAUGUCCAGCCUGAUGAAAAGAGAUGCUGCAGGAGAGCCUUGCGUCCUAUUAGCUUGUUGGUGGGGUAACGGCCCACCAAGGCGAUGAUAGGUAGCCGGCCUGAGAGGGUGGACGGCCACAAGGGGACUGAGAUACGGCUCUUACUCCUACGGGAGGCAGCAGUGGGGAAUAUUGGACAAUGGGGGCAACCCUGAUCCAGCAAUGCUGUGUGCACGAUGAAGGUUUUCGGAUUGUAAAGUGCUUUCAGCAGGGAAGAAAAAAUGACGGUACCUGCAGAAGAAGCGACGGCUAAAUACGUG